rnacentral:rRNA from 1 species
CCUACGGGAGGCAGCAGUGGGGAAUAUUGCACAAUGGGGGAAACCCUGAUGCAGCGACGCCGCGUGAGUGAAGAAGUGAUUCGGUGUGUAAAGCUCUGUCAGCAGGGAAGAAAAUGGCGGUACGUGAGCCGGAAGCCCUGGCUAACUACGGGCCAGCAGCCGCGGUAAUACGUAGGGGGCAAGUGUUAUCCGGAUUUACUGGGUGUAAAGGGAGCGUAGACGGCAGUGCAAGUCUGGAGUGAAAGGCGGGGGCUCAACCCCCGGACUGCUCUGGAAACUGUCCGGCUGGAGUACAGGAGAGGUAAGUGGAAUUCCUAGUGUAGCGGUGAAAUGCGUAGAUAUUAGGAGGAACACCAGUGGCGAAGGCGGCUUACUGGACUGUAACUGACGUUGAGGCUCGAAAGCGUGGGGAGCAAACAGGAUUAGAUACCCUUGUAGUC